GGCGCCGUAGCCAAGUGGCUAGGCAGCGGAUUGCAAAUCCGUCCACAGCGGUUCGAAUCCGCUCGGCGCCUCCA
rnacentral:tRNA from 1 species